rnacentral:rRNA from 1 species
AUUGAACGCUGGCGGCAUGCCUUACACAUGCAAGUCGAACGGUAACGGGCCUUCGGGUGCCGACGAGUGGCGAACGGGUGAGUAAUGUAUCGGAACGUACCUUUCAGUGGGGGAUAACGUAGCGAAAGUUACGCUAAUACCGCAUAUUCUGUGUGCAGGAAAGCAGGGGAUCGCAAGACCUUUCGCUGAUUGAGCGGCCGAUAUCAGAUUAGCUAGUUGGUGAGGUAAAGGCUCACCAAGGCGACGAUCUGUAGCGGGUCUGGGUGUAUGAUCGGGCACAAGUGAACGGAGAAACGAUCCAGACUCCUACGGGAGGCAGGAGUGGGGAAUUUUGGACAAUGGGGGCAACCCUGAUCCAGCCAUGCCGCGUGAGUGAAGAAGGCCUUCGGGUUGUAAAGCUCUUUCGGCCGGGAAGAAAUCGUAUCAGCUAAUACCUGGUGCGGAUGACGGUACCGGCAUAAGAAGCACCGGCUAACUACGUGCCAGCAGCCGCAGUAACAC